rnacentral:rRNA from 1 species
GUAGGUGGCAAGCGUUGUCCGGAAUUAUUGGGCGUAAAGCGCGCGCAGGCGGUCCUUUAAGUCUGAUGUGAAAGCCCACGGCUCAACCGUGGAGGGUCAUUGGAAACUGGGGGACCUGAGUACAGAAGAGGAAAGCGGAAUUCCAAGUGUAGCGGUGAAAUGCGUAGAGAUUUGGAGGAACACCAGUGGCGAAGGCGGCUUUCUGGUCUGUAACUGACGCUGAGGCGCGAAAGCGUGGGGAGCAAACAGGGAUUAGAUACCCUGGUAGUCCACGCCGUAAACGAUGAGUGCUAAGUGUUAGGGGGGGUUUCCCGCCCCCUUAGUGCUGCAGCUAACGCAUUAAGCACUCCGCCUGGGGAGUACGGCCGCAAGGCUG